UAAUACGUAGGGACCAAGCGUUGUUCGGAUUUACUGGGCGUAAAGGGCGCGUAGGCGGCUUGUCAAGUCACUUGUGAAAUCUCUGGGCUUAACCCAGAACGGCCAAGUGAAACUGUCAUGCUAGAGUGCAGAAGGGGCAAUCGGAAUUCUUGGUGUAGCGGUGAAAUGCGUAGAUAUCAAGAGGAACACCUGAGGUGAAGACGGGUUGCUGGGCUGACACUGACGCUGAGGCGCGAAAGCCAGGGGAGCAAACGGGAUUAGAUAC
rnacentral:rRNA from 1 species